rnacentral:rRNA from 1 species
AACGAACGCUGGCGGCAUGCCUAACACAUGCAAGUCGAACGAGACCUUCGGGUCCAGUGGCGCACGGGUGCGUAACGCGAGGGAAUCUGCCCUUGGGUUCGGAAUAACAGUUGGAAGCGACUGCUAAUACCGGAUGAUGACGUAAGUCCAACGAUUUAUCGCCUAAGGAUUAGCCCGCGUAGGAUUAGCUAGUUGGUGAGGUAAAGGCUCUCCAAGGCGACGAUCCUUAGCUGGUCUGAGAGGAUGAUCAGCCACACUAGGACUGGGACACGGCCCAGACUCCGACGGAAGGCAGCAGUGGGGAAUAUGGGACUACGGGCGAAAGGCUGAUGCAGCAGUGCCGGGAGAGUGAUGAAGGCCUUAGGAUUGUAAAGCUCUGUUAUCCGGGAUGAUAAUGACAGUACCGGCAGAAUAAGCUCCGGCUAACUCCGUG